rnacentral:rRNA from 1 species
AACGAACGCUGGCGGCAUGCCUAACACAUGCAAGUCGAACGAGACCUUCGGGUCUAGUGGCGCACGGGUGCGUAACGCGUGGGAACCUGCCCUUAGGUUCGGCAUAACUCCCCGAAAGGGGUGCUAAUACCGGAUAAUGUCUUCGGACCAAAGAUUUAUCGCCUUUGGAUGGGCCCGCGUUGGAUUUGCUAGUUGGUAGGGUAAAAGCCUACCAAGGCGACGAUCCAUAGCUGGUCUGAGAGGAUGAUCAGCCACACUGGGACUGAGACACGGCCCAGACUCCUACGGGAGGCAGCAGUGGGGAAUAUUGGACAAUGGGCGAAAGCCUGAUCCAGCAAUGCCGCGUGAGUGAUGAAGGCCUUAGGGUUGUAAAGCUCUUUUACCCGGGAUGAUAAUGACAGUACCGGGAGAAUAAGCGCCGGCUAACUCCGUG